UACGUAGGGUGCAAACGUUGCUCGGAAUCAUUGGGCGUAAAGCGCACGUAGGCGGCUUCGCAAGUCGGAUGUGAAAUCCCUCGGCUCAACCAAGGACGUGCAUCCGAAACUGCGAAGCUUGAGUACAGAAGAGGAUCGCGGAAUUCCCGGUGUAGAGGUGAAAUUCGUAGAUAUCGGGAGGAACACCAGUGGCGAAGGCGGCGAUCUGGGAUGAUACUGACGCUGAGGUGCGAAAGCGUGGGGAGCAAACGGG
rnacentral:rRNA from 1 species